rnacentral:rRNA from 1 species
UAGGGAAUCUUCGGCAAUGGACGAAAGUCUGACCGAGCAACGCCGCGUGAGUGAAGAAGGUUUUCGGAUCGUAAAACUCUGUUGUUAGAGAAGAACAAGGACGUUAGUAACUGAACGUCCCCUGACGGUAUCUAACCAGAAAGCCACGGCUAACUACGUGCCAGCAGCCGCGGUAAUACGUAGGUGGCAAGCGUUGUCCGGAUUUAUUGGGCGUAAAGCGAGCGCAGGCGGUUUCUUAAGUCUGAUGUGAAAGCCCCCGGCUCAACCGGGGAGGGUCAUUGGAAACUAGGAGACUUGAGUGCAGAAGAGGAGAGUGGAAUUCCAUGUGUAGCGGUGAAAUGCGUAUAUAUAUGGAGGAACACCAGUGGCGAAGGCGGCUCUCUGGUCUGUAACUGACGCUGAGGCUCGAAAGCGUGGGGAGCAAACAGG